rnacentral:rRNA from 1 species
GACGAACGCUGGCGGCGUGCUUAACACAUGCCAGUCGAACGGUGAACGAGGGAGCUUGCUCGCUCCGGUUCAGUGGCGAACGGGUGAGUAACACGUGAUCAAUCUACCUCGCACUCUGGGAUAAUCAUUGGAAACGACGUCUAAUACCGAAUACGUCGCGGCAGGGCAUUGUCUCCGCGUUGAAAGAACUUCGGUUCGGGAUGAGCUCGCGGCCUAUCAGCUUGUUGUAGAGGUAAUGGAUGAGCAAUGCGACGCCGGGUAGCCGGCCUGAGAGGGUGACCGGACCCGCUAGGAUGGAGAUACGGCACAGACUAGACUGGGAGGCAGCGGUGGGGAAUAGUGCACAAUGGGAGGAAGCCUGAUGCAGUCCAGCCGCGUGGGGGAAGACGGGAUGCGGGCUGUAUAGCUCUUUUAGCAGGGAAGAAGCGAAAGUGACAGUACCUGGAGAAAAAGCACCGGCUAACUACGUG